GUAACUGAUCGGUGCUGGUUUAU
rnacentral:siRNA from 1 species